CAGCAGCCGCGGGAAAACGGAGGGUGCAAGCGUUAAUCGGAAUUACUGGGCGUAAAGCGCACGCAGGCGGUUUGUUAAGUCAGAUGUGAAAUCCCCGAGCUUAACUUGGGAACUGCAUUUGAAACUGGCAAGCUAGAGUCUUGUAGAGGGGGGUAGAAUUCCAGGUGUAGCGGUGAAAUGCGUAGAGAUCUGGAGGAAUACCGGUGGCGAAGGCGGCCCCCUGGACGAAGACUGACGCUCAGGUGCGAAAGCGUGGGGAGCAAACAGGAUUAGAUACCCCUGUAGUCCCUGUCUCUUAUAC
rnacentral:rRNA from 1 species